UUCGCGUCGCACUCCAACAAAUGCGUCGAAGUGAAUAAGAGCCGUUGUAGGAGCAUGCAACGUUAAAAGCGAUACCCAACGACCGGAAUAAAACAUUGGAGUCUCAUUUGAACCUCGUUAUAAUCGUGCUACGCGAAUACCAUCUGUAUACCGAGAUUUCGUUUGGAAACAUUGGCCAAGCAUUUUUUCAGUUGCUAUCUUACAAAACACAGUACGCGCGUCGAUGAAAUAAUACGAACGAAAUAAGAACUGGUCGACAACGCCAAUCGUGCCUCGAACGUAACACGCAAUGUAAAACGAACGGCGGCGAUGGGAAGCAAUAAUUCAUUGGCGAAAAUCAUCUUUCACCUCUCGCUCGUUAAUGCCCUAACGAGAGGAAUUAAAUGUAUCCAGCGAUUAGGCGGCGGCGAUCCCCCAUCGUUGAAAUCGCUUCACCUGCGAGCGUGGGAACCGUUGCUGGCGGCCUUGCGGAACCACCGGUGAGGCACACCGCGGCCUUAUAUAAAAACGCUAAUGAUAUCUGAUUGCUCCCUAUUCACGAUGAUACCCGGCUUUUGCACGCCCGUCGUGCAGACUCGCGCCUCGCCUCCGGCCGGCUCUCCGUACAGCACGGCGACUUUAUCUGGACCGCUUAUCAUCGCGCCGUUCGUCCUGCAAUCGUCGGGUAACGUUGAGAUCUUCAAGUAAGAGAUUCGACACACCAUCCUGAAAUGUCCUGAAUGUAAUGGACCAAACGCCUUAAUCCUCCGUCAGCAACGUGAAUUUUUAAUUCUUUCAACAUGGAUCUUCGAGAUACAGCAAAUUGUUUACUG